rnacentral:rRNA from 1 species
GAUGAACGCUGGCGGCGUGCCUAAUACAUGCAAGUCGAGCGAACAGACGAGGAGCUUGCUCCUCUGACGUUAGCGGCGGACGGGUGAGUAACACGUGGAUAACCUACCUAUAAGACUGGGAUAACUUCGGGAAACCGGAGCUAAUACCGGAUAAUAUAUUGAACCGCAUGGUUCAAUAGUUAAAGACGGUUUUUCUUUCACUUAUAGAUGGAUCCGCGCCGCAUUAGCUAGUUGGUAAGGUAACGGCUUACCAAGGCAACGAUGCGUAGCCGACCUGAGAGGGUGAUCGGCCACACUGGAACUGAGACACGGUCCAGACUCCUACGGGAGGCAGCAGUAGGGAAUCUUCCGCAAUGGGCGAAAGCCUGACGGAGCAACGCCGCGUGAGUGAUGAAGGUCUUCGGAUCGUAAAACUCUGUUAUUAGGGAAGAACAAAUGUGUAAGUAACUAUGCACGUCUUGACGGUACCUAAUCAGAAAGCCACGGCUAACUACGUG